CCUGAUGACAAUAGCAGUUUGGCACCACCUGAUCCCAUCUCGAACUCAGAAGUGAAACGGACUAACGCCAAUGGUAGUGCAAGGUCUCCUUGUGUGAGAGUAGGUAAUCGUCAGGC
rnacentral:rRNA from 1 species